GCCUUUUAAACCCUCCGCGUUUGAGGAAAAGGACUUCACCGGAUCCUAUUCCACAGACCGUCCUCCUCCCCAGGCUUCAGGUGACGAGGUCAGCGCUUUUCCAGGUGCCACUUCAGGGAUGGAUGUACCUGGACGAGCUGCCGGGCCUGACGAAGCUGUCUGGCCUGAGGAAGAUGCCCUCGAAUUCAGCCUGGACAUCGUCCGGUCUUACCCUAAGGCCGGGCCUAGAAAGAUUACAAAGAGAAGAGGGAGAAAGAGUUCUCCAUACGUCACUCUGACUACCUGUCGCCGUACCCCUGCCUGCCUGACUGUCGUCGAACCCCUGCCUGCCUG
ensembl:lncRNA